rnacentral:rRNA from 1 species
CCUACGGGUGGCUGCAGUGAGGAAUAUUGGUCAAUGGGCGGAAGCCUGAACCAGCCAAGUAGCGUGCGGGAUGAAGGCCCUACGGGUCGUAAACCGCUUUUGCACGGGGAUAACACCCUCCACUUGUGGAGGUCUGCAGGUACCGUGCGAAUAAGGGCCGGCUAAUUCCGUGCCAGGAGCCGCGGUAAUACGGAGGGCCCGAGCGUUAUCCGGAUUCAUUGGGCUUAAAGGGAGCGUAGGCGGGCGUUCAAGUCCUCUGUAAAAUCGCGCGGCUCAACCGCGCCCGGCAGUUGAAACUGGACGUCUUGAGUUCACAACAGGCAGGCGGAAUUCGUGGUGUAGCGGUGAAAUGCGUAGAUAUCAGGAGGAAUACCGUUAGCGAAGGCGGCAAUCUGGCUUGAAACUGACGCUGAGGUGCGAAAGCGUGGGUAGCAAACAGGAUUAGAUACCCCGGUAGUC